GGAACAUUAGCCAAUCUGCUCAGCGCAGCCAUUGCCGGCAUGUUUAUAUAAACGAUAAAAGCUCCUUGCGUCAGU
rnacentral:tRNA from 1 species